GCCUGCAUCUUAUCAAACCAGGGCCAAAUUCUGCCACAGAUCUCAAGUGAAAGGCAGAGCUCACAGAGCAUACACGCUGUGUUUUCACCCAGAGCUCCAAGGAGAGAGCCAGACACAGGGGGUAAGGUGAAGUGUCCUUUAAUAGAUGUUAAAUCCUGAUGUCAGUAUGUGCCAAGGGAAUAAACAAGUGAAGAGGCCUAUCUGCAGCUGCUGGGUAACUCGAUUGCAGAUCCACCUCAAGAAGGGAUAAAUUCCAGAAUGCUGUACAGCUGUAAGUGGUUUUUCAUCGUGAUGGAUCUGAUUGCAUCCCUGAGCUUCCCAAAGAGACAAUUGGAAGAUUUCCCACUCUUUACAAAGAGAAGUUCAGCUGCAGUACACAGAUUUCAUAGGAUGCUCCAACAUCCUUUCAAGAUUUCAUUAGUUCUUUUCUAGAAUUUAACUGCUUCAGAACAUCAUGUCCAUAUCUGUGUGUGCAGUGGUUUUUCUGGAAGGGGCUCCUUGACUGAAGUCUCCAAGAACGAGUAACACAAGUAAUCCUGGUUUGUGCCACACAAGCUGCUCUCUGAAUCCUGCACCAUGAAACCACAUGAAGAUUCUUACUGUGGCCACAAAUACCAAGAAUUUGGAUGGAACAGAGAAAGGAUGAAAAAUAACAUAUGUAAAGCUCACUUUCCUAUAGAAUCACUUAAUUAUUUUUACUGAUGUGGUUGGGUGUUUUGUUUUUAUUUUAUUUUGGCUCAGUAGUGGGGGUUUUAUACAGUAUUAGACUGAAAGGAAGCUCACAAAAGCACUUGCAUCACUGCUGAACAGGCAUGCUAACACCAGAUUUUGCCCUGCAAAGAGAGAUGUUGCAUUACAUUUUCAACUUCUCUGAAGUUUACACCUUUCAUAUUAACAAAAAGAAAAAUAUUACAGCAGCUUCAGUGUAAUUCCAUUAGAAUUUUAAAACAGGAUAUUGAGCUAAAUAUCUCUUGCGAUUCAUGUAAUUGGGAGCUUGAAUGCAGUUUGACACGUUAGUGAUUGGUGUAGUUUUAGGCUCUACUGCAGCAUUCAGGCUAUGUGAGUAAAAAGGAAUCUAGCAAAAAGAGAAAGAGCUCAGGGGAUGGCACAAGCAAGCAGCACACAGCUGUUUGACUGCACGGGCUUCCUCCAUAGCCAUCCCCUACCCUGAACUAACAUCAGUUUCUGAACUGUUUGAAAUUGAGUUGCGGCAUCUAUAUGAAGCACCACAGUUAUUUUUUUUUUCCUCCCGCACUCAUCAAGUCAAAGGCAGCCCAGGUUGUAAGGAGGGGAGCUCUCUCCCUGCCCAAUAGAGGGCUCUGUGCUCCCUCCCCACAGUGAACAAGAUAACUACAGCCAUACAAAAGCCAUACAGAAAAAUCAAACUUGGAGGCUAAAAAUCUAAAAAUGGACAGUUGUUUGUUUUGUAUGCACUGACAUUACAUUCCAAUUUAAAGGUAAUUUAAGAAUCAGCGCCAUCAUUUCCAAGUAGUCAGCCUAGUGGUUAGGGAAAAACAAGGAACUCCACCUCAAAGGUGAUCAUUUCCCUCCCACCCCCAUGUUAGACUAUGCAUUCCUGCAAGGACAUUUUAGGGGAAAUUCAGUGCCCUGCAUCACCUGUGAGAGGAUUUACUCUCAGAUUACAGAAGCCCCUAUGACUGGGAGAGCUUUUCCCAGACAAAGGAAAGGAUGAUUUCUCCAGGAUUCCAUAGGAAUAUCCUCAACUCCUCCUGCAAGGAACCGUGGAUGCUACAAAGCUCAGCAAAAUUACUCAGAAAAACAGUACCAGGCAUAAGGCAAGCAGCUAUUUCCUUCUUUUCAG
ensembl:lncRNA